rnacentral:sRNA from 1 species
AUUAAGAAUAAUCAAGAUGAAGAACUCUAAGAAUAAUCCUAAGGGGUUUUCGAUCUACUAAUCCAUCUAAAUCCCUAUUGAAACUCCCUAGACCCAACAAGGUGAUUACUCAGACAUGACAAUAUAAACACAAAUCAUAAUCUGAAUAAUUUUCAUUGAUGAAUUAAGAAUAAUAGCAAAGGAGUUCAGAAUCCUCUCUUUAGGGAUUGGAUUCUUUUCUCUAAAGUGU